rnacentral:rRNA from 1 species
UACGAAGGGUGCAAGCGUUACUCGGAAUUACUGGGCGUAAAGGGUGCGUAGGCGGUUUGUUAAGUCCGUUGUGAAAUCCCUGGGCUCAACCUGGGAAUGGCAGUGGAUACUGGCAAGCUAGAGUGCGGUAGAGGGUAGUGGAAUUCCCGGUGUAGCAGUGAAAUGCGUAGAGAUCGGGAGGAACACCAGUGGCGAAGGCGGCUACCUGGACCAGCACUGACACUGAGGCACGAAAGCGUGGGGAGCAAACAGG